rnacentral:rRNA from 1 species
CCCUUAGAUGUCCUGGGCCGCACGCGUGCUACACUGACGCCUACAGCGAGUACUUCCCAGCCCCGAGAGGUGGCUGGUAAUCAGCAAUAGGCGUCGUGAUGGGGAUAGAUCUUUGGAAUUAUGGAUCUUGAACGAGGAAUGCCUAGUAAGCGCAGGUCAUUAGCCUGCGCUGAUUAAGUCCCUGCCCUUUGUACACACCGCCCGUCGCUCCUACCGAUUUCGAGUGGUCCGGUGAAUCUUUCGGACUGCGCGCGGCCUCGUGCCGUGUCGCGGAAAGUCAGGUAAACCUUCUCACUUAGAGGAAGGAGAAGUCGUAACA